rnacentral:rRNA from 1 species
GUUUGACUGGGGCGGUCGCCUCCAAAAGAGUAACGGAGGCGUUCAAAGGUUCCCUCAGGUUGGAUGGAAAUCAACCGGAGAGUGCAAACGCAAAAGGGAGCUUGACUGCGAGACUGACGGGUCGAGCAGGUACGAAAGUAGGAGUUAGUGAUCCGGUGGUUCCAAAUGGAAGGGCCAUCGCUCAACGGAUAAAAGCUACCCCGGGGAUAACAGGCUGAUACUUCCCAAGAGUCCAUAUCGACGGAAGUGUUUGGCACCUCGAUGUCGGCUCGUCUCAUCCUGGGGCUGGAGAAGGUCCCAAGGGUUGGGCUGUUCGCCCAUUAAAGAGGCACGCGAGCUGGGUUCAGAACGUCGUGAGACAGUUCGGUCCCUAUCCACUGCAGGCGCUAGAAUAUUGAAAAGAUCUGUCCUUAGUACGAGAGGACCGGGAUGGACAAACCUCUGAUGUAUCAGUUGUCACGCCAGUGGCAUGGCUGAGUAGUCACGUUUGGAAGGGAUAAUCGCUGAAAGCAUCUAAGUGAGAAGCCCACUUUGAGAUGAGUGUUCUUUUAGUAUCCAUCGAGAACAGGUGGUGAUAGGCUGGAGGUGUAAGUAUAGAGAUAUAUUUAGCUGACCAGUACUAAUAUUACGAAAGCUUUU